rnacentral:tRNA from 1 species
GCUUCUAAAAGAUAGCAGCUCAUCUAUUGACCUUAGGAGUCAAAAACUCUUGGUGCAAGUCCAAGUAGAAGUU